rnacentral:rRNA from 1 species
UACGAAGGGGGCUAGCGUUGCUCGGAAUCACUGGGCGUAAGGGUGCGUAGGCGGGUCUUAAGUCAGGGGUGAAAUCCUGGAGCUCAACUCCAGAACUGCCUUUGAUACUGAGGAUCUUGAGUUCGGGAGAGGUGAGUGGAACUGCGAGUGUAGAGGUGAAAUUCGUAGAUAUUCGCAAGAACACCAGUGGCGAAGGCGGCUCACUGGCCCGAUACUGACGCUGAGGAGCGAAAGCGUGGGGAGCGAACAGG